rnacentral:rRNA from 1 species
AUGAACGCUGGCGGCGUGCCUAAUACCUGCAAGUCGAGCGAACGGACGAGAAGCUUGCUUCUCUGAUGUUAGCGGCGGACGGGUGAGUAACACGUGGAUAACCUACCUAUAAGACUGGGAUAACUUCGGGAAACCGGAGCUAAUACCGGAUGAUAUUUUGAACCGCCUGGUUCAAAAGUGAAAGACGGUCUUGCUGUUACUUAUAGAUGGAUCCGCGCUGCAUUAGCUAGUUGGUAAGGUAACGGCUUACCAAGGCAACGAUGCAUAGCCGACCUGAGAGGGUGAUCGGCCACACUGGAACUGAGACACGGUCCAGACUCCUACGGGAGGCAGCAGUAGGGAAUCUUCCGCAAUGGGCGAAAGCCUGACGGAGCAACGCCGCGUGAGUGAUGAAGGUCUUCGGAUCGUAAAACUCUGUUAUUAGGGAAGAACAUAUGUGUAAGUAACUGUGCACAUCUUGACGGUACCUAAUCAGAAAGCCACGGCUAACUACGUG